rnacentral:rRNA from 1 species
GUAAGUGUUUAAGGGCGCAUGGUGGAUGCCUUGGCACUGGGAGCCGAUGAAGGACGUGGGAGGCUGCGAUAUGCCUCGGGGAGCUGCCAACCGAGCGUGGAUCCGAGGAUGUCCGAAUGGGGAAACCCGGCACGAGUGAUGUCGUGUCACCCGGCACUGAAUACAUAGGUGUCGGGGGGGAACGCGGGGAAGUGAAACAUCUCAGUACCCGUAGGAAGAGAAAACAAAUAGUGAUUCCGUGAGUAGUGGCGAGCGAAAGCGGAGGAUGGCUAAACCGGUUGCAUGUGAUACCCGGCAGGGGUUGUGCAGUCGGUGUUGUGGGGUUCGUCUUCCCAGGUCUGCCGGCCUGGGCGGCAGUGAGAAAAGUUCGUGUUAGCCGAAGUGGCCUGGGAUGGUCUGCCGUAGCGGGUGAGAGCCCCGUAGGUGAAAACAUGAUCUCUGUCGUGGCGUGUCCCCGAGUAGCAGCGGGCCCGUGAAAUCUGCUGUGAAUCUGCCGGGACCACCCGGUAAGCCUGAAUACUUCCCAGUGACCGAUAGCGGAUUAGUACCGUGAGGGAAUGGUGAAAAGUACCCCGGGAGGGGAGUGAAAUAGUACCUGAAACCGUGUGCCUACAAUCCGUCAGAGCCCUCGCUUUGCGUGGGGUGAUGGCGUGCCUUUUGAAGAAUGAGCCUGCGAGUCAGGGACAUGUCGCGAGGUUAACCCGAGUGGGGUAGCCGUAGCGAAAGCGAGUCUGAAUAGGGCGUAUCCACACAACAGUGUGUGGUGUAGUGGUGUGUUCUGGACCCGAAGCGGAGUGAUCUACCCAUGGCCAGGGUGAAGCGCGGGUAAGACCGCGUGGAGGCCCGAACCCACUUAGGUUGAAGACUGAGGGGAUGAGCUGUGGGUAGGGGUGAAAGGCCAAUCAAACUCCGUGAUAGCUGGUUCUCCCCGAAAUGCAUUUAGGUGCAGCGUCGCGUGUUUCACUCUGGAGGUAGAGCUACUGGAUGGCCGAUGGGCCCUACUAGGUUACUGACGUCAGCCAAACUCCGAAUGCCGACAAGUCAAAGCGUGGCAGUGAGACGGCGGGGGAUAAGCUCCGUGCGUCGAGAGGGAAACAGCCCAGAUCGCCGGCUAAGGCCCCUAAGCGUGUGCUAAGUGGAAAAGGAUGUGCAGUCGCAAAGACAACCAGGAGGUUGGCUUAGAAGCAGCCACCCUUGAAAGAGUGCGUAAUAGCUCACUGGUCAAGUGAUUGUGCGCCGAUAAUGUAGCGGGGCUCAAGCACACCGCCGAAGCCGCGGCAACGAACUUGUUUCGUUGGGUAGGGGAGCGUCCUGCAUCCGGUGAAGCCACAGAGUGAUCUAGUGGUGGAGGGUGUGGGAGUGAGAAUGCAGGCAUGAGUAGCGAUAAGGCAAGUGAGAACCUUGCCCGCCGAAAGACCAAGGGUUCCUGGGGCAGGCCAGUCCGCCCAGGGUGAGUCGGGACCUAAGGCGAGGCCGACAGGCGUAGUCGAUGGACAACGGGUUGAUAUUCCCGUACCCGUGUGUGGGCGCCCCUGAUGAAUCCGUUCUGCUAACCACCCAAAUGGUGGUCCACCAAUCCCUUCGGGGAAAGGGGAUCGCCGGCUGCGUGGGACCCGGGCGGGUAGUAGUCAAGCGAUGGGGUGACGCAGGAAGGUAGCCGUACCAGUCAGUGGUAAUACUGGGGCAAACCUGUAGGGAGAACGAUAGGUAAAUCCGUCGUUCACAUAUCCUGAGAGGUGAUGCAUAGCCGUAUGAGGUGAAUUCGGUGAUCCUAUGCUGCCAAGAAAAGCCUCUAGCGAGCACACACACGGCCCGUACCCCAAACCGACACAGGUGGUCAGGUAGAGAAUACCAAGGCGUACGAGUGAACUAUGGUUAAGGAACUCGGCAAAAUACCUCCGUAACUUCGGGAGAAGGAGGACCCUCUACUGUCAAGGCCCUCGCGGCCGGCAGCGGUGGGGGGUGGCACAAACCAGUGAGAAGCGACUGUUUACUAAAAACACAGGUCCGUGCGAAGUCGCAAGACGAUGUAUACGGACUGACGCCUGCCCGGUGCUGGAAGGUUAAGAGGACCGGUUAACCCUUCGGGGUGAAGCUGAGAAUUUAAGCCCCAGUAAACGGCGGUGGUAACUAUAACCAUCCUAAGGUAGCGAAAUUCCUUGUCGGGUAAGUUCCGACCUGCACGAAUGGCGUAACGACUUCUCAACUGUCUCAACCAUAGACUCGGCGAAAUUGCACUACGAGUAAAGAUGCUCGUUACGCGCGGCAGGACGAAAAGACCCCGGGACCUUCACUAUAGCUUGGUAUUGGUGGUCGAUUCGAUUUGUGUAGGAUAGGUG